rnacentral:rRNA from 1 species
AACGAACGUUAGCGGCGCGCCUAACACAUGCAAGUCGCACGAGAAAGGGCUUCGGCCCCGGUAAAGUGGCGCACGGGUGAGUAACACGUGGGUAAUCUGCCCUCGAGCGGGGGAUAACAUUCCGAAAGGAGUGCUAAUACCGCAUAAGACCACGACCUCGAAAGAGGACGAGGUAAAAGCUGGCCUCUAUACAUAAGCUAGCACUUGAGGAUGAGCCCGCGGCGCAUCAGGUAGUUGGUGAGGUAACGGCUCACCAAGCCUAAGACGCGUAGCGGGUCUGAGAGGAUGAGCAGCCACACUGGAACUGAGACACGGUCCAGACUCCUACGGGAGGCAGCAGUGGGGAAUCUUGCGCAAUGGGCGAAAGCCUGACGCAGCGACGCCGCGUGAGUGAUGAAGGCCUUCGGGUUGUAAAGCUCUGUGGGGAGAGACGAAUAAGUGCCGCCUAAUACGUUGCAUGAUGACGGUAUCUCCUUAGCAAGCACCGGCUAACUCUGUGCCAGCCGCCGCCGUAACAC